rnacentral:rRNA from 1 species
GACGAACGCUGGCGGCGUGCUUAACACAUGCAAGUCGAACGGAAAGGCCCUGCUUUUGUGGGGUGCUCGAGUGGCGAACGGGUGAGUAACACGUGAGUAACCUGCCCUUGACUUUGGGAUAACUUCAGGAAACUGGGGCUAAUACCGGAUAGGAGCUCCUGCUGCAUGGUGGGGGUUGGAAAGUUUCGGCGGUUGGGGAUGGACUCGCGGCUUAUCAGCUUGUUGGUGGGGUAGUGGCUUACCAAGGCUUUGACGGGUAGCCGGCCUGAGAGGGUAACCGGCCACAUUGGGACUGAGAUACGGCCCAGACUCCUACGGGAGGCAGCAGUGGGGAAUAUUGCACAAUGGGCGGAAGCCUGAUGCAGCAACGCCGCGUGCGGGAUGACGGCCUUCGGGUUGCAAACCGCUUUCGCCUGUGACGAAGCGUGAGUGACGGUAAUGGGUAAAGAAGCACCGGCUAACUACGUG